CACAUCGUACAACAGGACGAUGUACACAUUUUUGAGUGCCU
rnacentral:rRNA from 1 species